AUCCUUUCUAGAAGUUCAUCUUCUGAAUAUAUUGAUUCGUUAUCAGUUGAUAUACACUUGUCUCAUGGCUAUCACAGGAUUACUAUGUUUUCUUUGAUGUUCUCUUUUGCUCUUCCUAAUUUGAGCUAUAAUUAAACUCUUAACCUCCUAUUGUUAUUCAUUGCUAACAGAAAAGCUAUUGCUUCGCUUCUUCUAUAGACCAUCACCACACCAUAUACUUGACCAUCACAAGUUGUCUUUUGCAACAGAGCUGUAUUUAUAAUCAUUGUUAUAACUGGGGUUUUAAAUAAAGGUUUGCGGCCGUGAUCCUGGCCAUGGUAUAUUGUUUUUUUAUGUUGCUGAAACCACAAUUGUAGCUGCAUUGACUGCAUUUUAUGUGGCUCUCUGCAAUAUCAAGGAUCGCGGCACAACUAUCCCGUGACUGUUAUUUAAAACCCUGAUUACGACUAUUUUGCAAAUUCCUCUCUAAUUCCAUCAAAUCCUAAACAGAAAAAUAAGGCUUAUACAGUAUUAUCUUGGUGCAUAUGGUACAUACUCACAGAGUAAAAGGAUGGAUGUUAAUUUACCUAUGAAAAUGGAGAUACUAUCUUAACUUAUGUUGUUUACAAUAGUAUCUUAUGCAAGUAAAUAAAAGAUAAUAUGUUUUCUAACUCGGCUAGUGGGCCGCCCAGACUUUUAUUAUUAUCCUUACAUCAAUGAAAUAAACCUUCCAUUGACUAUGUCAAUGGAUAUAAUUUGUAAGUCAAGGUUUACUCAUAAGGUGCUAUCUUAUUUAUUGUCAUUUUCUCUUGCAAAUCUGACCUAUAUUGAUCAGUGGGUCUAGCUUAAUAUAAGAUGUUAAUUAUGUCAAAACUUAAAUGUCUAUCAUCAUACAUACUCAUUGUUCACUCUCAAGUUAACUUCAUUCCUUAUCCAUAGGAAAUGUUUUAUUUCUUCUUUGCCAUUCGGUCUCCUGCUAUGUAUCUAGUGUCAUCCUAUGAAAUGUGCACACCGAGCGUGACAUUGACACCAGCACAAUUGACAUGGGCAAUGUCUAAAAUAUAGGACAUAGAGAAACGAUGCGUAUAAUGAAAUGUGUAUUUAUGGAGCGUAUUAGUUGAUUGAGACUUGAUCUCAAUCUUUCAUGUCUGACUAUGUGGUUAGGGUUAUAUUUUCUUACACAUUCAUUUGAUAUGCCAUAUGCAUGGAACAUAUUAAUUGAGAGUUGAUCUUGAUCAUUAUGGUUGUGUGGUCAAAAACUGUAUUCGUUUAAGUAUUCAAUUGAUACACCCUUAUAUAUGCACAUAUGUGCGAGAUACAACAAUGCACAGAGGAAGGGAAGACAUCCCAAAUGAAAUGCAAAAUGAAGUUUUUUGUAUAAUGGUCACGUGUCCGUCAAGUAUCAAGCCAUAGUUGAUUGAGAGUUAGGUAAAUGUUCAAGGUGGGUUUGGUGCACAAAGAGUUGAGUUGCUCAUACACUUUAUUGAGUUGAGCUGUGGCCUGAUUGGGUUGCUUUUACACCCGGGAUCAAGUACAAUAUGUUGAAGAUGACAACAUUAAAAGAUUUGUGAGAGAAGUUUGACAGCAUCUAUGCAUCAAAUUCGCUAACCAAUUGAUUUUGGUUGAAUAUAGAGUUGUAUGACUCAAAAUGAAGAUGAGAGGAAAUCUGUGACCACACUAAUCUAUUCACCAAGCUAGUAUGUCAACUUUUGAACACCGAUGUUAAGGCAUUUAUAGAGGCGGAAGAUUGACCACGUAUAUGCGAUGUGCACACAACUGAGUGAGGAAUUGAAAUUCUGAGAGAUGCCCAACAAUUGUAAAGUCAAACCUUUAAACUUGUUCCAAUUUAAGGUAUGUUACUAUGUUAUUGGAAUUUUGUUUUUGACCUUUGGGAAGCUUACACGUGGUAAUUUCAAUGGUCUUGUAGAUGUAAAAAUCAAUUGAUUGGCACUUAUGCAUUAUUGGAAGAAAUCACACUGCACUGCAUUGUAGUUACACUAGUUAGAAGUUGUUCUCAUUGCUAUAUAAUUGUAUCUCUUCAGUUCAAUUAGUUCAUUGUAAAGUGAGCAUUUGAAUUUGAAUACUUUGAUUGUUCAUUUCCAUUGGUUUCUGAAAGAAGAAGAAAGAUGAAAAACUCUGAUUCAAUGGA